rnacentral:rRNA from 1 species
GGGCCGCGGGAUUAGAGUUUGAUCCUGGCUCAGAUUGAACGCUGGCGGCAGGCCUAACACAUGCAAGUCGAGCGGAAACGAGUUAUCUGAACCUUCGGUGGACGAUAACGGCGUCGAGCGGCGGACGGGUGAGUAAUGCCUAGGAAAUUGCCCUGAUGUGGGGGAUAACCAUUGGAAACGAUGGCUAAUACCGCAUAAUGCCUACGGGCCAAAGAGGGGGAUCUUCGGACCUCUCGCGUCAAGAUAUGCCUAGGUGGGAUUAGCUAGUUGGUGAGGUAAUGGCUCACCAAGGCGACGAUCCCUAGCUGGUCUGAGAGGAUGAUCAGCCACACUGGAACUGAGACACGGUCCAGACUCCUACGGGAGGCAGCAGUGGGGAAUAUUGCACAAUGGGCGAAAGCCUGAUGCAGCCAUGCCGCGUGUAUGAAGAAGGCCUUCGGGUUGUAAAGUACUUUCAGUUGUGAGGAAGGGGGUAGUGUUAAUAGCGCUAUCUCUUGACGUUAGCAACAGAAGAAGCACCGGCUAACUCCGUGCCAGCAGCCGCGGUAAUACGGAGGGUGCGAGCGUUAAUCGGAAUUACUGGGCGUAAAGCGCAUGCAGGUGGUUCAUUAAGUCAGAUGUGAAAGCCCGGGGCUCAACCUCGGAACUGCAUUUGAAACUGGUGAACUAGAGUGCUGUAGAGGGGGGUAGAAUUUCA